AUAAAUGGCCAUACCACCUUAGGCACGCCCGAUCUCGUCUGAUCUCGGAAGCUAAGCAGGGUCGGGCCUGGUUGGUACAUGGAUGGGUGACCGGCUGGGAAUACCAGGUGCGGUAAGCA
ensembl:rRNA 5S_rRNA 5S ribosomal RNA